CUUUCGGACUGCGCAUUUGGGGGAUGUAGGGACCGUGGGUCCACCCAUCUGCGGGUGAUUCUUUGUGAGCUCCUGCUUCACAGGUGGCUUUCGUUCUGUUCCCUUCCACUUGUGGUCGAGAGCCUGGGUACGAAAGGGCUGCAAGUAGGCAAGGGGAACGUAGCCAGAUUUAUGCCCAGAUUUUAAGACUCCUGGUUCAGAAGUAUUCCCUAAACGUUUCGGGAAGGAUAAAGAAUAUGUGUUAGGCGCGUUUGAAGGCCAGUGCUCAGGUAGCCUCACAUGGUAGUGCCGAGGGGAAAUAAGCAGACGUUUGUUUUAGCACUUCCUUGUAGUUUAAACGUUCAAAGAAAAGGGGAGUUCAGAUCUGCAUAGGUGUCAGAAAAGGUCGAAUGGGGUUGGAAAUGUGUGAGGUUACUCGUAAUUAGGCUUUCGUACGCUCUCCCUAGCUUUGAGAAAUGAUUAAUGGCUGUGAAAGUAUGUAGAGGAUACAUGCUUUUCAGGUGUAAAUUACUCUUUUAAACAAGAAUAGGUUUACCAGAAAUGGAAGCCUGACUCGUUUCUCCAAUCCUGUACAGUCUGCCCCUUGGUAUAUGCAGGGGAUUGGUUCCAGGACACCCCGCCCCCAUACCAAAAUAUCCUGGAUGCUCAAGUCCUUUGUAUAAAACAGUGUAUUAUUUUUCAUAUAACCUACUUAUAUCUUAUCCUAUAACUUUAAGUCAUCUGUACAUUACUUACAAUACCUAAUACAGUAUAAAUGCUACGUAAAGAGUUGCGGGGGUGAAACAAAUUCAAGUUUUGCUUUUUGAAACUUUCUGAAAUUUUGAGGGGAAUAUUUUUGAUCUGUAAUUGGUUGAAUUCGAGGAUGUGUAACCCACAGGUACAGAGGGUUGACUGUAAUUGCUCAAUAAAGAGUGCCCAAGAGAGGCUGUGAGUAUUCUGCUUGAAAGGUUUUCUUGGUAGCCAGUUGAAGUCGAGGCUAAUAGCUCUUUUGGUAUUUUCUGUCAAGAAUUAAAGCAUUUGGAAACAAAGGGUCUCUUAUCAUAUACUUAUUGGGAAUAAUUGAAAGCCUUGCUUUUGUAAGGCAUAACAACAUAAGUAGUUCACCAUAUGAUAAACUAGCAAAAACCUAAUUAAGACCCUACUACUCUAGUUUGGAAUUUCGACAGGAAUUUGACAAAUGCUUUCUCUUAGCUAGUGCAAAUAAAUGAUAUAAACACAAUGAGGAGGUGCUGAGAGUGGGAAGAGCAUCUUUAAAAUGGUUUGGAGCAUCCAUUUAUAUACAUUAAAUUAUGACUCUUAGCUGCUUAUUGAGGCAAAGCCACCAUUGACCUCUCCUCUGUAACAUUUUAAAAAGAGAAAACUUUUAUCUCUGUUUAACUUAAUACUCAAUUCUGAUUAAACUCCACCUCCUCCCUCUCCUUUCCUCCUCCCAUUAGCCUGGGUUAGUGUGAUUUUUACUGGGAAGCUUAGGAGCCUACUAAAUUCUGCAUCAGUUGAAACAAUGUUCAUUUUUAUUAACUUAUUAAAAAAUAAAUUAAAAGCACUUCACAGAACAAGCAAAGGCUUUGUUUCAAAGAAUAUAAGUAAAUCUGAAUUUUUCAAUAAUUUGAUGCACUAGGAGAGGAAAGAAAGGAAGCUAGACCAAGUAAACACAUGGCAUGAGGGUUGGGACAGGGUGUUGGUGCUGGAGUAUAUUUAGCCCACUGGAAAUAUCACAAGCAUGGGCGAGGGCACACAAUUAAGAGUGUGUUGACAGGAAUAUACAGAAAUGGUUUUUGUCAGAUUUUCCUAGAAUUUGAAUGGAGAAAUUUCCGGUAUUAAAAUUCAUUUCUCCGUGUCUGGAAUGUUUUAUGAAUAGCGUCAGAAACGCAUAUAGCUAGUUAAAUCUUUAUUCAUUAGUCAUGUUCUAAUAUUAACAUGUAGUCCUAAUAUUGUUCUUAUGGAUUAGGACUGAGAAUUUCAUAGUCUGCUUCCUUGGGAGGAGGCAGCAUCAGCAGCUGCGGAGUGUGGGAACAGGGACUGCUGAUACAAAAAAAAUACCUGGUCAGUGGAAUCUUUCAAAAAUGGUAAAGAAGCAAUCACAGAAUGAAGAAAUACACAUCUUUGUUUCUACUGAUUUAUCACUUAAAUUUGGAGUCCGAGCACAGAUGUGGAUCACUGAAGACAGCACUGGAAGCGCCAUUUGCAGGUAGAGAUUGAAGUCAUCAUUAAAAGAGCCAGAAGGUAGAAAUUGUCUUUAUUUUAUGGGAGGGACUAGACUGGGCAGUACUAGUCAGAGAUGAAAUAAAUCAUAAGGGAACAUGAGGUUGUAAGAAAAAAAAAAAUCACUGCCCUUAUUUGGGUUAAACAGGUCACAUCAAGAAGAUGGUUACUUAAGAAAAGGAUGCUACUUACAUGCAGCAUAAAUUCAUUAAAAUCAAGCUGCACCCAACUACGAAAAAAAGAUUCCCUAAGAAACCUUUAAAAGUAUGUGUUAUCUGCCAGUCACAGAGGGGAAAAGCACCUAGGGUGAACUCCAAUUUAAUAAGGACCUUGAUCAGGACCACAAAGCCUGAAACAUUUGUUUUAAUGCAGAAACAGCCUCUAAUCACACUGGUUAAGUCUGGGGAAAUUAGAGGGUUUUUUGUUUUUUACUUUUUUAUUGAAUUACAAGAUACGAUUUUGAUUACUAAGGAUUCUAAAUCUUCAUACCAGCAUUAGAACAGAACCACUUCCAAAUCCUAAGACACAUAAGACCAAAGAGAAGCAG